rnacentral:tRNA from 1 species
GCUGGGGAUAUAGCUCAAUUGGUAGAGUGCUUGCCUCACAUGCAUAAGGCCCUGGGUUCAAUCUCCAGCACAACA